GCCCCGGUAGCUCAGUCGGAUAGAGCAACGGCCUUCUAAGCCGUGGGUCAGGGGUUCGAAUCCUCUUCGGGGCGCCA
rnacentral:tRNA from 1 species